GAGAUCCUUCCUUUUGGAGUUUUCCAGUGAGGCCCAGGACAAGUGGCAUCAUGUGGGAGCAGGGGAGGGUAUAGUCACUGGCUGAAUAAUAGGACACAAUAUCAGAAAAAAAAAAUUAAGACAUAAGAUGGAGAUAACUGGAAAGAAGACUGAGAAAGCACCAGUUGUAUUUAUGAAAUCAGACAGUUUGACUGUUGGCAAGAAGUCCUGAACCCAGUCUCAUUUUAAGAGUAUUCAGGUAUCUAAAAUCUAUUCAAGAAGAAGGCGGCGCUGUCUUCACAGUACUGUAGCUGAGAGGUCAAGAGGCAAUGGACAGAAGUUGCUUCAAGAGCAAAUCUGCUUGGAUAAAAACUUUUUACUAUAGGAACAACCAAACAUUGGAAAAGUCUGUCCAUAGAUGUGGUGGAAAUGUGAAAGACUCAGCAGUGGUAAGGCUCUGUGUAUUGUGGCCUAGGAAUGUCCUUUCAAUAGAUACUUUGAUCAGAUUACAUACAAAAGUUCUCUCUAGCCCAGACAAUUCUAUAAUUUCUAGUACCACAAAGGAAAACAAAAUAGUUACUGUGUUUUAUUAUUAUAUUAUUAAUAAUAAAUAUAAUUAUAGUUAUUAUACUGUCUUAUAGUAUUAAAAGUGUGUUAAAAAUAGCGUUAAAACAGAACAAACAAAAACCACAGAACAACAAAGCACAUUUCAGCUGUAUUAUUGAUCUUUUAUAAAUUUACAACCUUGGUGCCCUAGCAAGAACAGGUGCCAGACCCAACUCAAAUAUAGUAGAAGGGCCAUUUCUAUACUCAGUUAUUUUUACAUGCAUUU